CUGUUUAUCAAAAACAUGGCCUUAAGAACAAUUUAAGGUAAAACCUGCCCAGUGCAAUAAUGUAAAUGGCCGCAGUACCUUGACUGUGCUAAGGUAGCAUAAUCAGUUGGCUUUUAAAUGGAGUCGGGAAUGAAUGGAUUAAUAGGGUAAAGCUGUCUCUUUCAUAUUAAAUUGAAAUUACUUAUUAGGUGAAAAUGCCUAAAACUAGAAAAAAGACGAGAAGACCCUAGGAGUUUUUACUAAAAGUUAAUUUUUUUUAACUUACGUUUUGGUUGGGGCGACAUAGGGAGAGGUUAAAACUCCCUGUAAGUUAUUUGCCGACUUAGUAUGAAAAUUUAAACUACCCUAGGGAUAACAGCGUAAUUCUUUUAGAGCUUGCGACCUCGAUGUUGGACUAGGAAUUUGGUAGGCUAGCCGCCUAUUUAUAUUGUUCUGUUCGAACUAUCUUUCCUACGUGAUCUGAGUUCAGACCGG
rnacentral:rRNA from 1 species